rnacentral:lncRNA from 10 species
GGCAGGGAUAUUGCAGAUGAGAUCCAACUAUUGAAUUGUAGAUUGGACCUGACAGUCCUAAAGUCCCUUCCAAACCUGUGAUUCAGUAUCAUUAGCCUAAAAGUACUAAAGCUAGCAUAUAAUCUCUGGACAUGGAAGCCAGGCUGAGAGAGCAGAGUGUGGAAUAUGGAUUCUGAACCAGAGGGAACCCUUCAAUUCACAUAAUCUCAGAACAUCAUAGCCAGAGGGGGCCUUGGCCCAGGUCCCUGGGCCAACUGUCAAACUCCCCUCCCAACAAUUACCAUUGUGCUAAUUAGGACAGCCCCAGCAAUCUGAAAAAGAAGAAUUUCAAGGACUGUUCUGGCUCUGAAUAUCUGGAAAAAGGUGCAUCUUGGUGGCUCCUGGAGUAGACCAGUCGGGGAGGAAGUUCUAGGAGGGACUCUUACAGAGACCAGCUGGACUAGAGCUUCUCUUGACUCCAAAGACACUUGACCUCAAAUUUAGCUUGGUCACUUAACAAGGCUGUUGGGAGAAACAAUUCACUUCAAAACUUAACCAGUGAAACACAUGUACAUGCUAUCAACUGGUGAGCAAUGGGCCAAACCAACCCCUGCUACUGAUUCUUGGAGCAGAGGCAAAAGGGGCAGGGCAUGGACUGAUACACUUUAGAGUUGCAUAGCUUUGAGUUAAAAUUCUGGUUCUGUCACUGUUUUUUUUUUUUUUUUUUUUUUUUUUCAGAGACAGGGUCCUUCUCUGUCACCGAAGCUGGAGUGCAAUGGCGCAUUCAUAGCUCACUGCAUCCUUCAACUCCUGGACUCAAGUGAUCUUCCUGCAUCAGCCUCCCAAGUAGCUGGGAUUACAGACAUCUGCCACCACACCUGGCUCAUUUUUUAAUUGUUAUUUUUUGUAGAGAUGGGGCCUUGGUGUUUCUCAGGCUGGUCUCAAAUUUCUGGUCUCAACCAAUCCUCCUGCCUGGGCCUCCCAAAAUGCUGGGAUUACAGGUGUGAGCCACUGUGUUCAGCCUCUGUCACUGUCUUGUAAAGUGACUCUGCAAAUUAGUCACCUGUCUUUCCCUGUUUUCUUAUCUAUAAUUUGGGAAUUAUGUAGGCACCCCUCUCAGAGAAAUGAGUAAAAUAACAGAUAUAUAUAUAUUCACAUGGUACAAAAUAGGUGUUUAAUAAAUCCCAAUUUGUUGACCAAGUGCCGUGGCUCAUGCCUGUAAUCCCACCACUUUGGGAGUCCAAAGCAGAUAAAUCACUUGAGGUCAGGAGUUCAAGACCAGCCUGGCCAACAUGACAAAACCCCGUCUCUACUUAAAAUACAAAAAUUAGCUGGGUGUGAUGGUGCAUGCCUGUAAUCCCAGCUACUCAGGAGGCUGAGGCAUGAGAAUCUUUGAACCUGAGGGGUGGAGGUUGCAGUGAGCCGAGAUCGCACCACUGUGCUCCAGCCUGGGUGACAGUGAGACUCUGUCUCAAAAAAAAAAAAAAAAAAAAGAAAAGAAAAGAAAAAAAAAUCCCAAUUGGCUGCUACCAUCCCAGGUAGUAUCAGCGUGUCCAAUUACUGAAAUAUAAAUGUUGUAUAACAUUUAAAGAUACAUGAAAACACUCGGAAAAAAAAAUUUAAGAAAUUGCCUACUGUUUUCUUAGAUAUUUGAGUGAGACCCAAGGGCUAACAUUUAUUAUCCAUCAUUCAGUACAAUUUGAAACAAAACAAUGGGAGCCUGUGGGUCAUUAAUUUGGUUCAAGGGGUUAUCGUGCCCAAGUCUAACUCAGUGUUCUUCACAGCUUUGCCCAACACUGGGUUUUCCCCUGCACUCUCCACCCCACGCCCCCUGUCAACAUGACUGAUGAAUUCAAUAUCCCCCUCUUUCCAGCUGACGAGUCAUUGAGCUGACUCCAAUCAGCAGGAUCCCCUGGUCGCCUGACUCAGGCCUCCCCAGUCAGAGGUAGAGUCUGCGGUGGACAGACAGACAGGUCUGGAGAGGCUGAUAUGGCCUUUAAGACUGUGAAAUAACAGAAAACCCCAAUGAAUCUAGUUUACUUCAGAGAGCUGUAAAGAUUUUACAGAGCAAUUUUCAUUAGUCUUUGCUUUUUCUCCAGACCCAAGUGACCACCUGGUAAUUACUUCAACAGCAGAGCGACUCAUACAGCCGGCAGUCCACUUUGUUCUUCUAUAGAUCCUGCCUGUGGUGUUGGAUCUAACAGCUUCUUCCCUGACCCAAGAUUAUGAAGGAUUUCUCCUGUGUUCUCUUCUAAAAAUUUUACAUUUAGGUACAUAAUCCAUUUUGAGCUAAUUCUUUUAAAUAGUGCAAAGUAUGGAUUGAAGUUCUUUUUUUUUUUUUUUUUUGCAGAUACAUAUUUAAUUUUUCCAGCACCAUUUGUUGAAAAGACUAAUGUUCUUGCCUGAAUAGCCUUUGCAUUGUUGUUGAAAAUCAUGUUCACACAUGUACACAUUCCACUGAUCUAUUUGCCUCUUUGUGAAAAUACUACUAUUUUGAUUAAUAUAUAUUUAUAGGGAGUCUUAAAAUCAUAUCUUAAAAAGAUAGUGGAAGUUAUUUAACCUUACUCUUGCUUUUAGAAAUUGUUUUGGAUAUUCUAGAUCUUUUGUGUUUCCAUAUAAAUUUUAUAAUCAGUUUGGCAAUUUAUUUAAAAUAUUCUUCUGGGAUUUUGAUGGACAUUACACUGAAUCGAUGGAUCGCUUUGGGGACAACUGACAUCUUAACAAUAUUGAGUCAUCUAACAUAUGAUCAUGGAAAUUGCUCCAUUUAUUUAGAUCUUCUUUCACAUCUUGAAGCAGUGUUUUGCGUUUUCAGUGUAUAGGUAUUUAAUAGAUUUAAAAAUAUGAUCCCUAAAUAUUCAAUGUUUUUGAUGCUAUUGGAAUUUUAAAAAAUUAAUUUCUGUUCUGAGGAAGGAAAAUAAUAAAAGAUUAAACAAGAAAAAUAAAAAUAAUCAAAAUAAAAGAUAAAUCAUUGACAAAUAUAAUAAAAAAUAAAAUAAUAACAAAAAAUAUAAAAAAUUAAUUUCUUAUUUUUU